rnacentral:rRNA from 1 species
AGAAUCAACGCUGGCGGCGUGCCUAACACAUGCAAGUCGAACGCGAAGACCCCGAAAGGGGUUUGUAGCGUGGCAAACGGGUGAGUAACACGUGGGUGACCUGCCUUCGAGCGGGGGAUAACGUCCCGAAAGGGACGCUAAUACCGCAUAACAUCCUGCCUUUUAAGAGGUGGAGAUCAAAGCCGGGGACCGCAAGGCCUGGCACUUGAAGAGGGGCCCGCGUCUGAUUAGCUAGUUGGUGGGGUAAUGGCCUACCAAGGCAACGAUCAGUA